rnacentral:rRNA from 1 species
AACGAACGCUGGCGGCAGGCCUAACACAUGCAAGUCGAACGGACCCUUCGGGGUUAGUGGCGCACGGGUGAGUAACACGUGGGAAUAUGCCCUUAGGUACGGGACAACAGCUGGAAACGGCUGCUAAUACCGUAUGAUAUCGAGAGAUCAAAGAUUUAUCGCCUAAGGAUUAGCCCGCGUUAGAUUAGGCAGUUGGUGGGGUAAGAGCCUACCAAGCCUACGAUCUAUAGCUGGUCUCAGAGGAUGAUCAGCCACACUGGAACUGAGACACGGUCCAGACUCCUACGGGAGGCAGCAGUGAGGAAUAUUGGACAAUGGGCGAAAGCCUGAUCCAGCCAUGCCGCGUGAAUGAUGAAGGCCUUAGGGUUGUAAAGUUCUUUUAGUAGUGAAGAUGAUGACGGUAACUACAGAAAAAGCCCCGGCUAACUCCGUGCCAGCCGCCGCAGUAAGAC